rnacentral:rRNA from 1 species
AGUGAACGCUGGCGGUAGGCCUAACAUAUGCAAGUCGAACGGCAGCACAGUAAGAGCUUGCUCUUACGGGUGGCGAGUGGCGGACGGGUGAGGAAUACAUCGGAAUCUACUUUUUCGUGGGGGAUAACGUGGGAAACUUACGCUAAUACCGCAUACGACCUACGGGUGAAAGCAGGGGAUCUUCGGACCUUGCGCGAUUGAAUGAGCCGAUGUCGGAUUAGCUAGUUGGCGGGGUAAAGGCCCACCAAGGCGACGAUCCGUAGCUGGUCUGAGAGGAUGAUCAGCCACACUGGAACUGAGACACGGUCCAGACUCCUACGGGAGGCAGCAGUGGGGAAUAUUGGACAAUGGGCGCAAGCCUGAUCCAGCCAUACCGCGUGGGUGAAGAAGGCCUUCGGGUUGUAAAGCCCUUUUGUUGGGAAAGAAAAGCAGCAGGUUAAUACCCCGCUGUUCUGACGGUACCCAAAGAAUAAGCACCGGCUAACUUCGUG